rnacentral:rRNA from 1 species
UACGAAGGGGGCUAGCGUUGCUCGGAAUUACUGGGCGUAAAGGGAGCGUAGGCGGAUAGUUUAGUCAGAGGUGAAAGCCCAGGGCUCAACCUUGGAAUUGCCUUUGAUACUGGCUAUCUUGAGUAUGGGAGAGGUGUGUGGAACUCCGAGUGUAGAGGUGAAAUUCGUAGAUAUUGGGAAGAACACCGGUGGCGAAGGCGGCGAGCUGGUCCAUUACUGACGCUGAGGCGCGAAAGCGUGGGGAGCAAACAGG